rnacentral:miRNA from 15 species
AGCAUCCUCCUCUUAGGAAUU